CUAUGAUGGUGAGGGCAAUUUUUUAGAAUACUUAUAAAUAUAUCCCAAGCUUGGUAGAGAUUCUCUCCUUUCUUCUAUUUGAAACUCAGAAUCUUACUUCUCAAACG
rfam:Capsicum annuum cultivar Zunla-1 chromosome 7, whole genome shotgun sequence